AUUGAACGCUGGCGGCAGGCCUAACACAUGCAAGUCGAACGAGUGGCGGACGGGUGAGUAAUGUCUGGGAAACUGCCUGAUGGAGGGAGAUCACUACUGGAAACGGUAGCUAAUACCGCAUACCAUCGGAUGUGCCCAGAUGGGAUUAGCUAGUAGGUGGGGUAAAGGCUCACCUAGGCGACGAUCCCUAGCUGGUCUGAGAGGAUGACCAGCAAAACUGGAAAUGAGACACGGUCCAGACGCCUACGGGAGGCAGCAGUGGGGAAUAUUGCACAAUGGGCGAAAGCCUGAUGCAGCCAUGCCGCGUGUAGGAAGAAGGACUUCGGGUUGUAAAGGACGUUCAGCGGGGAGGCGUUACCAGCAGAAGAAGCACCGGCUAACUCCGGGCCAGCAGCCGCGGUAAUAC
rnacentral:rRNA from 1 species